GUCAUUAUGUAAUCUGGUACGAUACUUUAUCUAAAUUGUAAAUAUUCAUUACAUUUAUAUUACAGUGCAAGACCGAGUUAAGCUCAUCUGUUUCUAGUGUAUAGACAGCUUGGUGAUUAUUUCUGAUGAUGAGAUUCCCGAAACAACCACUCAGGACCUUUUGAAUCUGAGUUCCACACAAUUUGAGGGAAACGUGUCUAACAGUGAUUACGACGGAGAUAUUUCAGAUACGAGUGCUACAAUAGAAGACCAAGAGGAAAUCAUCUCGGAAACCGACAUUCAACAAGACAUCGAACUACAACAGAUCUGCGCAGUGUGGCGUGAAUUCUUCGAAGCAAAGACUGAUUUAUUGGAAAACUUUGGACAGAUUGAUUAUACACUUGAAUCUGGUCGAGGUACAGAUUUUAUCCCAUUACUGUACAGCACGCUUGAAAAUGUGAAUAGAUGUCUCUCAGUGAGCAUAAAGUUGAUUAGAAAAUUGUAUGAUAGAUAUGGCGCAGAAACGACUGAAAUGCAGUUCGGAUAUGGAGAUUAAAAAAAAGAGAACCGAAAAUUCUCCAUUAUCGCAUGAUUUCUUUUAUGACGGAAACCAGAGAUUUUCAAAUGAUUCGCACACACCCCUGAACCCAUAUUUAACUGAAGCGAUCAACAGGCUGAACGAAAG
ensembl:lncRNA